rnacentral:sRNA from 1 species
AUAUCUCUCCGUACGGGAAGGAUGAGAAGCUUCGACUAAGGUUCGAUUCGAGCGCAGCGAGAAAGCGUUGCCGCAGGCAACGACCCGAAGGGCGAAGCGCGCAGCGC